UAGGGAAUCUUCCGCAAUGGACGAAAGUCUGACGGAGCAACGCCGCGUGAGUGAUGAAGGUUUUCGGAUCGUAAAGCUCUGUUGUUAGGGAAGAACAAGUACCGUUCGAAUAGGGCGGUACCUUGACGGUACCUAACCAGAAAGCCACGGCUAACUACGUGCCAGCAGCCGCGGUAAUACGUAGGUGGCAAGCGUUGUCCGGAAUUAUUGGGCGUAAAGGGCUCGCAGGCGGUUUCUUAAGUCUGAUGUGAAAGCCCCCGGCUCAACCGGGGAGGGUCAUUGGAAACUGGGGAACUUGAGUGCAGAAGAGGAGAGUGGAAUUCCACGUGUAGCGGUGAAAUGCGUAGAGAUGUGGAGGAACACCAGUGGCGAAGGCGACUCUCUGGUCUGUAACUGACGCUGAGGAGCGAAAGCGUGGGGAGCGAACAGGAUUAGAUACCCUGGUAGUCCACGCCGUAAACGAUGAGUGCUAAGUGUUAGGGGGUUUCCGCCCCUUAGUGCUGCAGCUAACGCAUUAAGCACUCCGCCUGGGGAGUACGGUCGCA
rnacentral:rRNA from 1 species